rnacentral:rRNA from 1 species
UACGUAGGGACCGAGCGUUGUCCGGAAUCAUUGGGCGUAAAGAGCGUGUAGGCGGCUAUUUAAGUCCUGCGUGAAAUCCUGCGGCUCAACCGCAGACGGUCGUGGGAAACUGGAUGGCUAAAGUGCGGGAGAGGAGAGUGGAAUUCCCGGUGUAGCAGUGAAAUGCGUAGAUAUCGUGAGGAACACCAGAGGCGAAGGCGGUUACCUGGACAGUUACUGACGCUCAGGCACGAAAGCGUGGGGAGCAAAAGGG